rnacentral:rRNA from 1 species
GAUGAACGCUAGCUACAGGCUUAACACAUGCAAGUCGAGGGGCAGCAUGGUCUUAGCUCGCUAAGGCCGAUGGCGACCGGCGCACGGGUGAGUAACACGUAUCCAACCUGCCGUCUACUCUUGGACAGCCUUCUGAAAGGAAGAUUAAUACAAGAUGGCAUCAUGAGUCCGCAUGUUCACAUGAUUAAAGGUAUUCCGGUAGACGAUGGGGAUGCGUUCCAUUAGAUAGUAGGCGGGGUAACGGCCCACCUAGUCUUCGAUGGAUAGGGGUUCUGAGAGGAAGGUCCCCCACAUUGGAACUGAGACACGGUCCAAACUCCUACGGGAGGCAGCAGUGAGGAAUAUUGGUCAAUGGGCGAGAGCCUGAACCAGCCAGGUAGCGUGAAGGAUGACUGCCCUAUGGGUUGUAAACUUCUUUUAUAAAGGAAUAAAGUCGGGUAUGGAUACCCGUUUGCAUGUACUUUAUGAAUAAGGAUCGGCUAACUCCGUGCCAGCAGCCGCGGUAAUACGGAGGAUCCGAGCGUUAUCCGGAUUUAUUGGGUUUAAAGGGAGCGUAGAUGGAUGUUUAAGUCAGUUGUGAAAGUUUGCGGCUCAACCGUAAAAUUGCAGUUGAUACUGGAUAUCUUGAGUGCAGUUGAGGCAGGCGGAAUUCGUGGUGUAGCGGUGAAAUGCUUAGAUAUCACGAAGAACUCCGAUUGCGAAGGCAGCCUGCUAAGCUGCAACUGACAUUGAGGCUCGAAAGUGUGGGUAUCAAACAGGAUUAGAUACCCUGGUAGUCCACACGGUAAACGAUGAAUACUCGCUGUUUGCGAUAUACUGCAAGCGGCCAAGCGAAAGCGUUAAGUAUUCCACCUGGGGAGUACGCCGGCAACGGUGAAACUCAAAGGAAUUGACGGGGGCCCGCACAAGCGGAGGAACAUGUGGUUUAAUUCGAUGAUACGCGAGGAACCUUACCCGGGCUUAAAUUGCAGAUGAAUUACGGUGAAAGCCGUAAGCCGCAAGGCAUCUGUGAAGGUGCUGCAUGGUUGUCGUCAGCUCGUGCCGUGAGGUGUCGGCUUAAGUGCCAUAACGAGCGCAACCCUUGUUGUCAGUUACUAACAGGUUCCGCUGAGGACUCUGACAAGACUGCCAUCGUAAGAUGUGAGGAAGGUGGGGAUGACGUCAAAUCAGCACGGCCCUUACGUCCGGGGCUACACACGUGUUACAAUGGGGGGUACAGAGGGCCGCUACCACGCGAGUGGAUGCCAAUCCCCAAAACCUCUCUCAGUUCGGACUGGAGUCUGCAACCCGACUCCACGAAGCUGGAUUCGCUAGUAAUCGCGCAUCAGCCACGGCGCGGUGAAUACGUUCCCGGGCCU